AUUGAAUCCUGUUGAGAUUAUGGUAUUUGAAAUUCCCAAUGCUAUAAUAAUAAAUAUCAUAUUUAAUUUUGAAACUUGAUCAAAAAAAAAUUCAUUAUUUUAUCUUUCUUGUUAUUAAUAUUUAAGGCUGAAGCAAAAAUUGAUCCAAGUGUAAAGUUUGUUGAUGUUGUACACAAUUCUGAAGCUUAUGUACGAUGCGAUUGUCAAGAAACUGCUCAAAAAAUAGCAGAAGAAAACCGAUGGCCUCAAACUAGAUUAUUAACUGGCGAAGAAGAAAAGCUGUAUUGGAAUAAAAUUUUAAGAGAUAGAGAAAUUAAAUGUACCAAGCAAAAAGAAACUAAAAAACCACGAGGUCGUGAAAAGCUAAUUAAAAAAGCAGAAAAAAGAUUGGCUCAACAUGUUACAUUUAAUCUAGAGGAUAAUGAAUAAAUAUUAAUAUUACAAUGUUAAUCAAAUUCCAUUUUAAUUUUGAUAUGAGUAAUAAUUGUAUAUCACACAGUUUCUUUUGUGCGAAUCUGAUGAUAAUUUUUUAUAAUAAAUGACUCAAUAUUUAUGAUGA